UUUAGUAAAGAAAUCUCUGAUUUCUGUCCCUACAAAUUGUCCUCCAUAUCGCUGCAGGGACAGUACACCAAAGGGGCUUCAGAUGUUGAGGCUUCUUUCAUCUCAUCAUAAGAACAGUUGUCUGGGUUUCCUUGCCUGCACCACGUCAGGUCACGUGUAAGCAAAAACAUUUUCCACAGCUAAUUAGUCAAUCUGCAGUGGAUGAAAAUAUGAUUGACAUCAUCAUAUUCUUCCUCACUUAGGACACACCUACUGCAUGUGAUUAUCCCUCUCUUUUCUAAUUUGUUUUGGGAUAGGCAAGCAUCUCAUACCACUAGUCAAUCCACCUUGUAGGGUGCUUUAUUCUUCCAACUUUUUCUAAGAUGUUUUUCUAAUCUGCUCUUUUUUUACUAAAAUGUUGCAUUGUGAACAAUACUUCUAUUGCCCUACCAAUAGUGAUCGUCAUCUUUAAACAUGUUCUCUUCUAUCCCCAUCCCAACCCUCCCCCCCAAACAAAAAAGAAAAAGAAAAAGAAUUGAACAUAUACCUAAGGAAGUUGAGAUGUUAAUUUUACUUUUCUUCCGGACGAUCAGACCUUGUGUGUUUAAUCUGGAAUGCAGAGUUGAGUACCCACCAGUUUGGUGACGAUGAAAACAUGUCUAAGUAUUAGACACGCCUGACCUUUUGUGU
rnacentral:lncRNA from 1 species